AAGUCGUAACAAGGUCUCCGUUGGUGAACCAGCGGAGGGAUCAUUACAGAGUUGCAAAACUCCCCAAACCAUCGCGAACCCACCCCUAAACAGUUGCUUCGGCGCGCGCCCCCCCCCACCGGGGGCCCGCCGGAGCCCACCAAAACUCUUGUUUUUACCAAUGGCCUCUCUGAGUUAUGUACUUUAAUAAGUCAAAACUUUCAACAACGGAUCUCUUGGUUCUG
rnacentral:misc_RNA from 1 species